UACGUAGGUGGCAAGCGUUAUCCGGAUUUACUGGGUGUAAAGGGCGUGUAGGCGGGAAAGCAAGUCAGAUGUGAAAACCAUGGGCUCAACCUGUGGCCUGCAUUUGAAACUGUUUUUCUUGAGUACUGGAGAGGCAGACGGAAUUCCUAGUGUAGCGGUGAAAUGCGUAGAUAUUAGGAGGAACACCAGUGGCGAAGGCGGUCUGCUGGACAGCAACUGACGCUGAGGCGCGAAAGCGUGGGGAGCCAACAGG
rnacentral:rRNA from 1 species